AUUGAACGCUGGCGGCAUGCCUUACACAUGCAAGUCGAACGGUAACAGGUCUUCGGAUGCUGACGAGUGGCGAACGGGUGAGUAAUACAUCGGAACGUGCCUAGUAGUGGGGGAUAACUACUCGAAAGAGUGGCUAAUACCGCAUGAGAUCUACGGAUGAAAGCAGGGGAUCGCAAGACCUUGUGCUACUAGAGCGGCCGAUGGCAGAUUAGGUAGUUGGUGGGAUAAAAGCUUACCAAGCCGACGAUCUGUAGCUGGUCUGAGAGGACGAUCAGCCACACUGGGCCUGAGACACGGCCCAGACUCCCACGGGAGGCAGCAGUGGGGAAUUUUGGACAAUGGGCGCAAGCCUGAUCCAGCAAUGCCGCGUGCAGGAUGAAGGCCUUCGGGUUGUAAACUGCUUUUGUACGGAACGAAAAGCCCCGGGUUAAUACCCUGGGGUCAUGACGGUACCGUAAGAAUAAGCACCGGCUAACUACGUGCCAGCCGCCGCCGUAA
rnacentral:rRNA from 1 species